rnacentral:rRNA from 1 species
UGAGGAAUAUUGGUCAAUGGACGGAAGUCUGAACCAGCCAUGCCGCGUGCAGGAUGACGGCUCUAUGAGUUGUAAACUGCUUUUAUAUUAGGGUAAACUCAGAUACGUGUAUCUGACUGAAAGUAUAAUAUGAAUAAGGAUCGGCUAACUCCGUGCCAGCAGCCGCGGUAAUACGGAGGAUCCAAGCGUUAUCCGGAUUUAUUGGGUUUAAAGGGUGCGUAGGCUGUUUUGUAAGUUAGAGGUGAAAUCCCGUGGCUCAACCACGGUUGGUCCUCUGAUACUGCAAGACUGGCGAGUAGAUGCUGUAGGCGGAAUGUGUAGUGUAGCGGUGAUAUGCUUAGAUAUUACACAGAACACCGAUUGCGAAGGCAGCUUACAAAUCUAUUUCGGACGCUGAGGC